rnacentral:lncRNA from 1 species
GCACCAUCUUGGAAAUGCAAGAGAAAGGCCAGGCAGUGAUGUCGGAUUCUAGGUGUAAUUUAGACGUUGUCCACAAGAUGGCAGCAGUGUAAAGCUUCAGACUGAUACAAUAUUUGGUAUCAAGUCUGCCAGGAGUUUGCCCAAAUGUGCCGAAUUGGUCAAUUUAUACAUUUUCAGUAAUCUUGCUCUUGAUUUUGUCAUCCUGAGGGUCCCAGAGAUAAAAUGUAGUGUAGUUUUGUUUGGAAAAAUACUUUUUUAUAUUCAAACGUAGAGAACUGGAUUCUACAGUUUGACCCCAUUGCUGUCUCUGGUUCCACACCCACCAUACCCGGCCACAUAGAUGUGUGGAAGAUAAUGUUUUACACUCAGUGCAGUAAUCUGCUAAUAUCCUUCUUGGCCACUAAAAAGAGAGACACCAGAUAAACAAUACAAAUAUUUUUUUAAUUCAUUGACAACUUUGGUUUCCUACAUGUAACAUCACAUCAUGUAUCUAUCUAUCUAUCUAUCUAUCUAACUGUAGUAGUAUGUAACAUCACAUCAUGUAUGUAACUGUAGUGGUAUGUAACAUCACAUCAUGUAUGUAACUGUAGUGGUAUGUAACAUCAUGUAUGUAACUGUAGUAGUAUGUAACAUCAUGUAUGUAACUGUAAUAGUAUGUAACAUCAUGUAUGUAACUGAAGUGGUAUGUAACAUCAUGUAUGUAACUGAAGUAGUAUGUAACAUCACAUCAUGUAUCUAUCUAACUGUAGCAGUAUGUAACAUCAUGUAUGUAACUGUAGUAGUAUGUAACAUCACAUCAUGUAUGUAACAUCAUGUAUGUAACUGUAGUAGUAUGUAACAUCACAUCAUGUAUGUAACAUCAUGUAACGGCCUGGCCAUAGAGAGGGGUUUUUUGUUCUUUAUUUUGGUUAGGCCAGGGUGUUACAUUGGGUGGGCGUUCUACGUUCUGUUUCUAUGUGUUUGUAGUUCUUUGUUUUGGGCCGUGUGUGGCUCCCAAUCAGGCACAGCUGAAGUUCGUUGUUGCUGAUUGGGAGUCACACAUAAGGAGCAUGUUUUUCCGUUGGGGUUUUUGGUGGGUAAUUGUUUCUGUUUAGUGUUUUGCACCUGACGGGACUGUUUGGCUGUUCGGUUUUCUUGUUUUGUUUCGUAUAUUGUGUUCUUUCUAUUAAAUUAAAUUCAAUGAUGAACACUAACUCUGCUGCACCUUGGUCUACUCUCUCUCUACCGACAGCCGUUACACAUCAUGUAUGUAACUGUAGUAGUAUGUAACAUCAUGUAUGUAUGUAACUGUAGUAGUAUGUAACAUCUAUGUAACUGUAGUAGCAUGUAACAUCAUGUAUGUAACAUUAUGUAUGUAACAUUAUGUAUGUAACAUCAUUAGCAUGUAACAUGUAUGUAACUGUAGUAGUAUGUAACAUCAUGUAUGUAACAUGUAUGUAACUGUAAUAGUAUGCAACAUCAUGUGUGUGACUGUAGUAGUAUGUAACAUCCGAUCAUGUAUGUAACUGUAGUAGUAUGUGACAUCAGAUCAUGUAUGUAACUGUAGUAGUAUGUAACAUCACAUCAUGUACGUAACUGUAGUAGUAUGUAACAUCACAUUAUGUAUGUAACUGUAGUAGUAUAUAACAUGUAUGUAACUGUAGCAGUAUGUAAAUUCAUGUAUGUAACUGUAGUAGUAUGUUACAUCACAUCAUGUAUGUAACAUCAUGUAUGUAACAUCACAUCAUGUAUGUAACUGUAGUAGUAUGUAACAUCAGAUCAUGUAUGUAACAUCAUGUAUGUAACAUCACAUCAUGUAUGUAACUGUAGUAGUAUGUAACAUCAGAUCAUGUAUGUAACUGUAGUAGUAUGUAACUUCACAUCAUGUAUGUAACUGUAGUAGUAUGUAACUUCACAUCAUGUAUGUAACUGUAGUAGUAUGAAACAUCACAUCAUGUAUGUAACUGUAGUAGUAUGUAACAUCAUGUAUGUAACUGUAGUAGUAUGUAAUAUCACAUCAUGUGUGUAACUGUAGAAGUAUGUAACACCACAUCAUGUAUGUAACUGUAAUAGUAUGUAACAUCAAUUAUGUAAAUGUAUUGGUAGUAUGUAACAUCAUGUAUGUAACUGUAGUAGAUGUAACAUUAUGUAUGUAACUGUAGCAGUAUUUAACAUGUAUGUAAAUGUAGCAGUAUGUAACAUCAUGUAUGUAACAUCUAUGUAACUGUAGCAGUAUUUAACAUGUAUGUAAAUGUAGCAGUAUGUAACAUCAUGUAUGUAACAUCAUGUAUGUAACUGUAGUAGAAUGUAACAUGUAUGUAACUGUAGUAGAAUGUAACAUCAUGAAUGUAACAUCAUGUAUGUAACUGUAGUUGUAUGUAACAUCAUGUAUGUAACUGUAAUAGUAUGUAACAUCAUGUAUGUAACUGUAGUAGUAUGCAACAUCAUGUAUGUAACUGUAGUAGUAUGUUACAUCACAUCAUGUAUGUAACUGUAGUAGAAUGUAACAUGUAUGUAACUGUAGUAGUAUGUAACAUGUAUGUAACUGUAGUAGUAUGUAACAUGUAUGUAACUGUAGUAGUAUGUAACAUCAUUUAUGUAACAUCAUGUAUGUACCAUCUAUGUAACUGUAGUAUAAUGUAACAUCAGAUCAUGUAUGUAACUGCAGUAGUAUGUAACAUCACAUCAUGUAUGUAACUGUAGUAGUAUGUAACAUCACAUCAUGUAUGUAACAUCAUGUAUGUAACUGUAGUAGUAUGUAACAUCAUGUAUGUAACUGUAGUGGUAUUUAACAUGUAUGUAACUGUAGUAUGCAGCUUAAUACAGUGAGAUACAGUCUACAGCCUACUACAACAGUGAGAUGCAGCCUACUACAGUGAGAUACGCCCUACUACAGUGAGAUGCAGCCUACUACAGUGAGAUACAGCCUACUACAGUGAGAUGCAGCCUACUACAGUGAGAUACAGCCUACUACAGUGAGAUACAGCCUACUACAGUGAGAUGCAGCCUACAGCCUACUACAGUGAUACGCCCUACUACAGUGAGAUGCAGCCUACUACAGUGAGAUGCAGCCUACAGCCUACUACAGUGAUACGCCCUACUACAGUGAGAUGCAGCCUACUACAGUGAGAUGCAGCCUACAGCCUACUACAGUGAGAUGCAGCCUACUACAGUGAGAUGCAGCCUACAGCCUACUACAGUGAGAUGCAGCCUACUACAGUGAGAUGCAGCCUACUACAGUGAGAUGCAGCCUACUACAGUGAGAUACAGUCUACUACAGUGAGAUGCAGCCUACAGCCUACUACAGUGAGAUGCAGCCUACUACAGUGAGAUGCAGCCUACUACAGUGAGAUGCAGCCUACCACAGUGAGAUACAGACUACAGCCUACUACAGUGAGAUACAGACUACAGCCUACUACAGUGAGAUGCAGCCUACAGUCUACUACAGUGAGAUGCAGACUACUACUGUGAGAUGCAGCCUACAGCCUACUA